AUGAUCAGAAUUAUCAUAGUGUUUCAGUCUCUCUACUGGAUUCAAGGAGUUGCAGGAGUGAAUCAUGUCUCUCAGCCCAACAUAAUCUCAGCUAAAAUGGGUGAAUCAGCCACAAUGAACUGCUCACACACCAAGGGGUCAGAUUAUUAUCUGAUGUACUGGUUCCGUCAGUAUCAUGGAGAGAGCAUGGAGCUUAUAGUGCUCACGAACACCUUCAGCAAUCCGGACUUUGGAAAAUUCAACCAAAAUAAAUUUUCAGUCAUUAAAACAGUUCCUGAGGAAGGAUUUUUCACAGUGAAGGAUGUGGAUUAUAAUGACAGCGCUGUGUAUUUCUGUGCUGUGAGAGAACACAGUGUUAUAACCACAGGGCAUAGCUGUACAAAAACACACAGUGUGAAAGGCAGGAAGAAAUAG